AGGGUGUAAACGCUGCAGACUUGGUGUUGGGAACCCUUCGGGGGUGCUCAGUGCCGGAGAGAAGUUGUUAAGUCUGCUACUUGGGGAGUACGACCGCAAGGAUGAAACUUAAAGGAAUUGGCGGGGGAGCACCGCAACGGGAGGAGCGUGCGGUUUAAUUGGAUUCAACACCGUAAAACUCACCAGGGAAGACUGUUACAUGAAGGCCGAGAUGAAGACUCUGCUAGAUUUUCAGAGAGGAGGUGCAUGGCGUCAGUGACU
rnacentral:rRNA from 1 species